UCCCCUCUAGCCACUACUUCCUUCAUUGGACUGCAAGGUAUUUCUGUUUGGAAAAGUAAUGGAGUCCAGUCAACUUCAUUGAUCUCCAAGGACUGUCAAAAUUAUAAAACUUGCUGUGGAGCUCUGACAUGCCAGAAGCCGCUAGAAAAAGAAGUUUGACAUUCAGAAACUUAUCAAGAGGUUCUACUCUUUGGAUAGAGACCAAAAUAAUACUUUGAAAAAAUGAGAAGAGAUGGAAGCCAUGGAAGGGUGUGUGGAAUCAAGCAGCAGUUCUCAAAACAGCAUAAAUCAAGACCUCAGCACAUAUCAAGACCUCAGCACAUUUAAGACGGUGACACAAAAGCAUCGUAGUGUUGUCAUUCACCACUAUGCAGGAGGGAAAGCCAAUUUCAUUUCAGAAUGUCCUCAAUUAAUCUGUAGAAAUUAUUAAUUUUAUUAAAUCCCAGUCCUUGA
rnacentral:sRNA from 1 species